GCUAGACACAAUGGCAUAUGCCUAUAGUUCAGCUACUCAGGAGGCCAAGGUAGGAGAAUUACUUCAGUCCAGGAGUUCUGAGCUAUUGUGUGCUAUGCUGAUUAGGUGUCUGCCCUAAGUUUGGCAUCAGUAUGGUCUCUCUAGGAGCAGGGGACCACCAGGUUGCCUAAGGAGGGUUCAACUGGUGGUACAGGCCAGAAAUGGAGCAGAUCAGAACUCCUGUGCUGAUCAGUAGUGGGAUCAUACCUGUGAAUAGCCACUGCAUUCCAGCCUGGGCAAUGUAGCAAGAAAGAAAAACAGAUUU
ensembl:misc_RNA Metazoa_SRP Metazoan signal recognition particle RNA